AAGUCGAGCGAACGGAUAAGGAGCUUGCUCCUUUGAAGUUAGCGGCGGACGGGUGAGUAACACGUGGGUAACCUACCUAUAAGACUGGAAUAACUUCGGGAAACCGGAGCUAAUGCCGGAUAACAUUUGGAACCGCAUGGUUCUAAAGUAAAAGAUGGUUUUGCUAUCACUUAUAGAUGGACCCGCGCCGUAUUAGCUAGUUGGUAAGGUAACGGCUUACCAAGGCAACGAUACGUAGCCGACCUGAGAGGGUGAUCGGCCACACUGGAACUGAGACACGGUCCAGACUCCUACGGGAGGCAGCAGUAGGGAAUCUUCCGCAAUGGACGAAAGUCUGACGGAGCAACGCCGCGUGAGUGAUGAAGGUUUUCGGAUCGUAAAACUCUGUUAUUAGGGAAGAACAAAUGCGUAAGUAACUGUGCGCAUCUUGACGGUACCUAAUCAGAAAGCCACGGCUAACUACGUGCCAGCAGCCGCGGUAAUACGUAGGUGGCAAGCGUUAUCCGGAAUUAUUGGGCGUAAAGCGCGCGUAGGCGGUUUCUUAAGUCUGAUGUGAAAGCCCACGGCUCAACCGUGGAGGGUCAUUGGAAACUGGGAAACUUGAGUACAGAAGAGGAAAGUGGAAUUCCAUGUGUAGCGGUGAAAUGCGCAGAGAUAUGGAGGAACACCAGUGGCGAAGGCGACUUUCUGGUCUGUAACUGACGCUGAUGUGC
rnacentral:rRNA from 1 species